GGAGAGGUGACCGAGCGGCCGAAGGUGCACGACUGGAAAUCGUGUGUACCGAAAGGUACCGGGGGUUCAAAUCCCCCCCUCUCCGCCA
rnacentral:tRNA from 1 species